UACAGAGGGUGCGAGUGUUAAUCGGAAUUACUGGGCGUAAAGCGUGCGUAGACGGUUUCGUAAGUCGGGUGUGAAAUCCCCGGGCUCAACCUGGGAAUUGCAUUCGAAACUGCGAGGCUAGGGUACGGAAGAGGGAAGCGGAAUUUCUGGUGUAGCGGUGAAAUGCGUAGAUAUCGGAAGGAACACCAGUGGCGAAAGCGGCUUCCUGGUCCAGCACCGACGUUCAGGCACGAAAGCGUGGGGAGCAAACAGG
rnacentral:rRNA from 1 species